GACGAACGCUGGCGGCGUGCUUAACACAUGCAAGUCGUACGGUAAGGCCCUUUCGGGGGUACACGAGUGGCGAACGGGUGAGUAACACGUGAGUAACCUGCCCACAACUUUGGGAUAACGCUCGGAAACUGGUGCUAAUACUGGAUAUGUGCUCCUGCUGCAUGGUGGGGGUUGGAAAGCUCCGGCGGUUGUGGAUGGACUCGCGGCCUAUCAGCUUGUUGGUGGGGUAGUGGCCUACCAAGGCGGCGACGGGUAGCCGGCCGGGGAGGGUGACCGGCCACAUUGGGACUGAGAUACGGCCCAGACUCCUACGGGAGGCAGCAGUGGGGAAUAUUGCACAAGGGGCGCAAGCCUGAUGCAGCAACGCCGCGUGCGGGAUGACGGCCUUCGGGUUGGAAACCGCUUUCAGCAGGGACGAAGCUUUUUGUGACGGUACCUGCAGAAGAAGCACCGGCUAACUACGUG
rnacentral:rRNA from 1 species